rnacentral:lncRNA from 1 species
AUACAGCUGGCAACUGCCUGGAGUGCCCCGUCGGAUUUUACUGUCCAGGAGGUCGAGCAGCUCCUCGGAAAUGCCCAGUGGGAACAGCCAAUCAGCUCACAGCUCAAACAGAUAUCACAGCCUGCCAGGCUUGCCCGGACGGCUAUAUCAGCUCAGAGACCAGAGUGGGGUGUCGCUUGUGUCCAGAUGGCUAUUUGUGUGAUCCACACAGUGGUUUGCAGAAGAGCUGCAAUCCUGGUCAGUACUCACCUGAGGGAGAGCUGGAGUGUUGGGAGUGUCCCCAAGGAUACGUCUGCCCUGAUGGACGAAACAGACAGCAUUGUUCAGCUGGCCAGGAGCCAAACCCCAGCCGCACGCAUUGUGUAACCUGCACUCUCGGCUCUUUCUCCACCAAGGAAGCUCUGGGAUGCCAGCCCUGUCCAGCAGGCCAUUAUUGUCCGCACAUUGGUACCAUCCAGCCUCUCCCUUGCCCACCUGGUUCCUGCACUGAUGCCCCUGGGAAGAGUGAGUGCCAAAGGUGCAAUGAAAGUUCCUGCUGUUUGGAUACUGUGGGUCAGAUUCAACAGGACCGUGAACCCGUUGAAUCACCAGAAGGCCUGCAAUGCCAACCAUGCCCAUCAGGUCACUUUUGCGCUGAUGGAUUUACAGCCCCUCCAUGCCCAGCAGGGAGCUUUGAGCCCCGAGAGCAGUUCUGCAAACCCAGCGAUGGCUCCUCAUGCUUGCCAGGAAUCAGACAGUGUCUCAAGUGCCCCACUGGGUAUUUCUGCCCUGCUGGUGCCAGUUACCCACGCCCAUGCCAGGCGGGUACAUAUAAUCCUCUCCAGGGGCAGGAUGAUGCCACAGACUGUAGAGCCUGCCCAGCAGGUAGAGUUUGUACCCAGGCUGGCUUGACCCAGCCAGACUCGGAGUGCAUGGCUGGGUAAGUAUCAGUUAUUCAUUGCACUGUUUUCAGUGACUGUGAUCUUUGGU